rnacentral:rRNA from 1 species
AGAAUCAACGCUGGCGGCGUGCCUCAGACAUGCAAGUCGAACGCGAAAGUCCCCUUCGGGGGACAAGUAGAGUGGCGCACGGGUGAGUAACACGUAGGUAAUCUACCUUCGGAUGGGGAAUAACAAUCGGAAACGAUUGCUAAUACCGCAUAAUGCAGCGGCACCUAAUGGUGACAGUUGUUAAAGCGGGGGAUCGAAAGACCUCGCGUCUGAAGAGGAGCCUGCGGCGGAUUAGCUAGUUGGUAAGGUAAUGGCUUACCAAGGCUACGAUCCGU